UUGCAAACUUGCGCAAAGAGAAGUGUCAGUUGAUGCGGGAGAGCGAGAGAGAGCGCUGGAGAUUGUGUCAGUUGAUGGAAGGAGAUGUCAAAGAUGACGGAUGUCAUUUGAGUGAGCAGCGGGGCGGCCAAGCAAUACAACCGCUUCGUGGCGAAUGUGAUUGCCAUCAAAACCAUCUCAUCGACAAACUUGUUCGCACAAGUUCAUUUUUACUCUUCCGUUGAACAAAGAUGCUGCACCACCUGAUUUUGGAAAUGUCAACUGGGCUGACUUGGCCAGCUGGGAACUUCAUGAAAAUCAAAUCCGUUCUUAGGAGCAUCCCAUGCCAAGGGAAAGGUAGGAAAUUCCGC